CCCAUGUCUGAGUGCAGAAGAAAUGCUAGAGUGCAGAAUCACACUCCAUAGUGGAUCACUGAUGCCUCAACUUCUGGCCAUGCUGCCAAAGGCUUCUAUGUCAGCAUAAAGGAUUUACCUGACCAGCU
rnacentral:lncRNA from 12 species